GCAACCCGCCUGCAUGAAGUCGGAAUUGCUAGUAAUCGCGGAUCAGCAUGCCGCGGUGAAUACGUUCCCGGGCCUUGUACACACCGCCCGUCACACCAUGGGAGCCGGUAAUACCCGAAGUCAGUAGUCCAACCACGUGAGGACGCUGCCGAAGGUAGGAUUGGCGACUGGGGUGAAGUCGUAACAAGGUAAC
rnacentral:rRNA from 1 species